AUAUUUUAGUAAUCCACAAUGACCUGGUGAUGUAAUAGUCUAAUGACAUUACCUUCCAUAUUCCUACAGUUACCUUGUAACUGGAGAUUCCUUCAAAACGAUUGCCUACAGUUACCAUGUAGGACACUGCAAGGUUGGGUGACCAGGGCCAUCUGGGACUGCCUCCUGGGAGAAUUCAGAUGUGUGUAGGCUACCUGUAUACUGCACAACUACUUGAGGAUGGACAUGAGGACCAGGGGGGAUGUGCAGCUCACCUGUGUGUGCCAGAGGAGAAGUCUGCUGCUCUGCAGGAUGUUUCAAGGAUGGGGUCCAACAAUGCAGCAAGAGAGGCAAUCCGUAUGCAGGAGAUCUUCACCUCCUACUUCUUCGAAGAGGGUGCUGUUCCCAGGCAACACCAAAGACUACACUAUGCACAACCAAAGACCCUUUAUAAGCCAUCCACAUUGCAAUAAGAGUAUUCUUCCAUUUACUUAGCUAAUGUCAACUGCAGUUAUUCAAUCCCUAGUUUCUCUCCCUUUGAUACCUACUUCUCAGGUGAGAUUGCUGUUUGGGUAAGGGUGUGACGUGUGUGGACACCAGAUUAUAUCAGAUGUGUUGGUGAACCCCUCCCGCAUCUGAACUGGCUACAUAGAGGGCACAGCAUGAUCAGAGGUAUGUUUUGAGAUGAAAGAGGAUGCCAACAUCACCGCCUCACCAGCUCUUAAGAUAACAUUCGGGCCGACUGGGAGCCCAAGGCUGGUUAGGAGACACCACUAGAGACACUAUUAUGUAAUUGUGAUGAACAGAGAAUAUUAGGGUAGCACUGUGAUUCAUUAAUCAUAUGCUGUCUUCCCUGCUCCUCUGUUCUUACCUCUUUCCCUUUCUGUCUUUCACACCUCUCUCGCCAUCUCCUCUUUCUUCCUGUUUUUAUAAUGCACACCAGAUGUGCAUUGAAGUACAGAUUGCACUUGUAUUCAUAAUAUAUUACAAUUAUAAUAUUUAUAAUGCAUCUAUUAUGCAUUUAUAACCCUUGGAUAAUGAACUUCUUUCAAUAAAGCG
rnacentral:lncRNA from 1 species